UACGUAGGGGGCUAGCGUUGUCCGGAUUUAUUGGGCGUAAAGAGCUCGUAGGUGGUUCGGUAAGUCGGAUGUGAAAUCUCCAGGCUCAACCUGGAGGGGUCAUUCGAUACUGCCGUGACUAGAGUUCGGUAGAGGAGUGUGGAAUUCCUGGUGGAGCGGUGAAAUGCGCAGAGAUCGGGAGGAACACCCGUAGCGAAGGCGGCACUCUGGGCCGAUACUGACACUGAGUAGCGAAAGCGUGGGGAGCGAACAGG
rnacentral:rRNA from 1 species